UGUAGCUUAACAAGAUUCAUUGCCUUAAAUUUAGCCAGAUUAUCUUGUCCAUCUUGUUUUGAACAUUACAAGCUAGUUUCCAGUCUCAUGUGUGAGAUGAUUAGACUUGUUUCAAGUAUAUAUUACUUUUCUUAUUUAGUCUGUAAAUCUAAAAUGAACCAUUUUACAUUUAUUUCAAGCAAAAAUAGCUUUUAGAUAGAGUGUAAAACAAAAAAAUAUCUUAAAAUAAGAUCCAUUAUCUCACUGUUUGAAUCAGAGCGAAGGACAUGAGGGAGCACGUUCGGACUGGAUUCUGUUAAGGUAAUUAACUUUUGCUUGCAAACAUUUAAGGUUCUUUUAGCUUUGACUUACUGUAGUAACAUCAGUCGUGGUCAAAUAUUAAGUUUUACCAAGGCAGUAUUAUCAGUUUACUACCAAUGGGUAGUUAGCCAAAACUGCCAGCCAGCUAGCUAGCUUAGUUCAUUCAGAAUGCUGAAUUGUUAGCAUGCAGUGAGAGUUUAAAAUUAUUAAUGGUGCUAGUUGGGUAAAUUUAGUUUCAUAUACUUAACAUAGCUAUACAACAAAAGAACUACAGUUGAUAUCCGCCUUUGCAAAAGUCAGUUUUGCAUGUCCCACCCACGGACAAUAAAAAGCUGCAGUGGGGUUCCCCCCCCCUUUCUUAAGCCGCGCGCUCUCUGUCUGCACUGUGCUUGGUGUGUUUGUGUGUGCAACUUGGGAGGACCGAUACUGGUUUGAGACAAAUCUCACAAUCGGGCUCGUAACUUUACAACGCCGUUUUCGAAUUCACUUAUGGAUAACUUAAGCCUACAGCUCCAGCACCAGUCAAACUGUCGGCUUACAUCCAGCGUUCUCUGCUGCUUAAUUUUUUUUUUUGUUAUGGAAAAAGACAGGGGUGUUGGACAGAUCUAUAUUUAACUUAAAUGAGGAUUUACUUAAGUCAUCAAGAGUUAACUCUCAAAAUUACAUUUAACCAACAUGAGUUUAUUCAAAUUUUAUUUGCAAGUCCAGUUUGGGUAAUGAAAUUAAAGAUAACACAAGGGAAUAAAAUAAUGCACAUUUAUGAAUGACAUCUUUACCUAUAGAUUUACUUUAAGCUUCAUUUCCGACAGAUCAUGAUUAAUCAUAUAAACUAUUGUAAGUUGGAGAUGUGAACUUACUUCCAAUUAUUUAUGUUGUAAACUAUUAAUAUAAAUCAGGUCACUUUAACCUUGCUGAACCGAGGUAAUAUUUUUUCUUAUGGAUGAAGUGGCCUAAUCUGAGCUUUGAUCAUUUGUUGAAUGACUUGACAAGCAGUUGGGCACUAUUAGUUUUAGUUUGAAAACUAGUUUGGAAUAGCCUUGUCAUAAAUUUUAUGUGAGCAAUUUUAUAAGACUUAACCAUGGAAGAACAGUGAAAUGUAUACAUUUAAAAGAGAUGUACAACUUUUACUGACUUAUUUACAGCUGCCAACAUAGAUGAGGUCUUGCUCCACACCCUCAGUAGGGACGAUUUAAGGGACCUACUUCCAGGGCCUGAAAAUUUUAUGAGGAGGAAACAGUUGUGGGCUCAAGUUCACAAAGAGGCAAGUUUUGCCGCUUUUGAUUGAAAAACACCUAGCACAACACAUUUUGUUUAGGACUCCUGUAAUAUAACUAUUUUUGUUUUCUUAUUUAGGAUGAAACUAAAGAAAAGGUGUCUCAUGGAUAUCUCACCAUGUGACCAGGGAGAAGAUUAUGAUGCAGAUUCAAGUGGUGGAUCGAACAUGCUUUUGCCACCCAGGAGCAGUUCUGGUGACAACAGUUCCCUGUUCAGGGCACUACCAACUCUCUUCCUAUCACAAGCUGCACCACCCAAGAAGAUGGGACAUGUCAGUGAAGCACUGAUUCAUGUCCUUCAGAAGAUCCAGCGUCAGCCCUGUUCAGCUCUUUGAAGGGUCCCGCUGUCUUAUUGCAGUUGGAACCACUCCCAUCACCACAUUUGCCACAGAUGACCUUGGAGAAGGUUUGCUGUAUCUUAUGGCAUACUACUACACCCUGCAUCUUACCUAUCCUAAAUGUGUGGCAACGCUUCUGUCUGUCAUUCAGACAGAAGCGUUAAAAGACAAAAUCCAUGAGCAAGACACCACAGGCUCAUACAAAAAAGUCAUGGCAGGCUGUAGGAAUUUUUAUUGAAACAUAGAGCUGUUUGAACAAGAUUUAGCUUAGGUCUGUGUUGGAAGGUUUGGACCUGAUAGCUUUGAAGUUGAAAUUGAUACUUGAAUUUAUUUAUUUAUUUUUUAAUUCUUUGUUCUGUAUUACAUUAAUAAAAGUACUUUUUUUCUUUAAACACAUCUGUUCUGCAAAUUCUGUUUAAAAUUUCAAAUGCUCAUUUUAUAUGUUGAGUAGUUAACUGGUUUAACAGUUCUAAAAGGAACACAAAAUAACAAUGUUACACUUACAAUGUGUCUUUAAAUUUUUGUAUACUAUGAUUGACUGAAAUAUUUGUUACUGUUUGGAGAGUUUGUUUCCAAUAAAGGUCAUGCACACAGUA